rfam:Populus trichocarpa isolate Nisqually-1 chromosome 3, whole genome shotgun sequence.
AUCGGGCAGAUGAUGAAUCUUGUGUUUUAAUGGGUAAUUUGCAUCUGAAUUUCGUUGAUGCUUCAACACCUUGAACACUGAUGCCCUUC